CUUUAAAAGAACACAGUGCACUGCAGUAGUUAUGGCUUCAAGCGUAUCCUAGUACCCCCAAUGUAAGUAAUCAAACAGUUUGCUAAUGGUUUUACUUCUUACCUGGGUUCCUCUGGGUGAUUGUCAUUUUCUGUAUAGAGACCUGGAAGCUCUUUGCUCUGAGCUAAGUCCAGUAGGGAAGGACAUUUUUCAUUAGCGGAGUAUGAUCAGCUGCCUUCU